CCAGCACCGAAUCCCGCGCCCGAGUGCGGACGCAGGGAAAUGUGGUGUUAGGGAGGACGAUACGUUUCGUGUACGUGCGGCGCGUCCAAGUCCUUCUUGAACGAGGCCACCGCCCGUAGAGGGUGCCAGGCCCGUAGCGACCGCUGCCGAUCGCGAAACGAUCUCUCCUUAGAGUCGGGUUGCUUGAGAGUGCAGCCCUAAGUAGGUGGUAAACUCCAUCUAAGGCUAAAUAUGACCACGAGACCGAUAGCGAACAAGUACCCGUGAGGGAAAGUUGAAAAGAACUUUGAAGAGAGAGUUCAAUAGUACGUGAAACCGUUCAGGGGUAAACCUGAGAAACCCGAAAGGUCGAAAGGGGAGAUUCACCGCGGGUUCGUCGGCGAAGUUCAAUGCGAGGGUGACUGGCGACUUCGGGUCGACAGCGCCUCGCGUAGUUCAACAGACGGCGAACGCGUGCACUUCUCCCCCGGUAGGACGUCGCGAUCCGUUGGGUGCCGGUCUAAGGCCCGCGGUGGAGCCCGGAAGGGACGGCUAUGUCGUUUUCCGUCCGGACCCGCGGUGUUCCCGGCCGGCACGCUCGACGGUAUACAGAUGGCGCUGGGCCGCGACGUAAGUUCGCGUUCGGCCCGCGGCAAGCCCACCGUGCGUCUCCGGCGAUCGGACCUAGUGCCGAUUCCGGUCCUCGGUGGCUGUUCGCUGCGGUGUUCUCGGACAGACCCAGUUGAAACGCUAAUCUGCGACGCCGUAGCUUUGGGUACUUUCAGGACCCGUCUUGAAACACGGACCAAGGAGUCUAGCAUGUGCGCGAGUCAUUGGGACAUAACUAAACCUAAAGGCGUAAUGAAAGUAAAAGUCCGCCUCGCGCGGACCGAGGGAAGAUGGGCGUCGGCUUUAAACGCCGCGUCCCGCAUUCCCGGGGCGUCUCGUUCUCAUUGCGAGAAGAGGCGCACCAAGAGCGUACACGCUGGGACCCGAAAGAUGGUGAACUAUGCCUGGUCAGGACGAAGUCAGGGGAAACCCUGAUGGAGGUCCGUAGCGAUUCUGACGUGCAAAUCGAUCGUCGGAACUGGGUAUAGGGGCGAA
rnacentral:rRNA from 1 species